CCAUGUGUAGCGGUGAAAUGCGUAGAUAUAUGGAAGAACACCAGUGGCGAAGGCGGCUGUCUGGUCUGUAACUGACGCUGAGGCUCGAAAGUAUGGGUAGCAAACAGGAUUAGAUACCCUGGUAGUCCAUACCGUAAACGAUGAAUGCUAAGUGUUGGAGGGUUUCCCCCUUCAGUGCUGCAGCUAACGCAUUAAGCAUUCCGCCUGGGGAGUACGGCCGCAAGGCUGAAACUCAAAGGAAUUGACGGGGGCCCGCACAAGCGGUGGAGCAUGUGGUUUAAUUCGAAGCUACGCGAAGAACCUUACCAGGUCUUGACAUACUAUGCAAAUCUAAGAGAUUAGACGUUCCCUUCGGGGACAUGGAUACAGGUGGUGCAUGGUUGUCGUCAGCUCGUGUCGUGAGAUGUUGGGUUAAGUCCCGCAACGAGCGCAACCCUUAUUAUCAGUUGCCAGCAUUAAGUUGGGCACUCUGGUGAGACUGCCGGUGACAAACCGGAGGAAGGUGGGGAUGACGUCAAAUCAUCAUGCCCCUUAUGACCUGGGCUACACACGUGCUACAAUGAAUGGUACAACGAGUUGCGAACUCGCGAGAGUAAGCUAAUCUCUUAAAGCCAUUCUCAGUUCGGAUUGUAGGCUGCAACUCGCCUACAUGAAGUCGGAAUCGCUAGUAAUCGCGGAUCAGCAUGCCGCGGUGAAUACGUUCCCGGGCCUUGUACACACCGCCCGUCACACCAUGAGAGUUUGUAACACCCAAAGUCGGUGGGGUAACCUUUAGGAACCAGCCGCCUAAGGUGGGACAGAUGAUUAGGGUGAAGUCGUAACAAGGUAACCA
rnacentral:rRNA from 1 species